UACGGAGGGUGCAAGCGUUAUCCGGAUUUACUGGGUUUAAAGGGUGCGUAGGUGGGUUGGUAAGUCAGUGGUGAAAUACUUUCGCUUAACGAAGGAACUGCCAUUGAUACUAUCAAUCUUGGAUACAGUGGAGGCAGGCGGAAUGCGUCAUGUAGCGGUGAAAUGCUUAGAUAUGACGCAGAACACCAAUUGCGAAGGCAGCUUGCUACACUGUUAUUGACACUGAGGCACGAAAGCGUGGGGAUCAAACAGG
rnacentral:rRNA from 1 species